ACACCGAAGAUAAGCAUCAUCGGGCGUGGUCAGUACUUGGGAGGGUGACCACCAGGGAACUCCGCGUGUCGUUG